GACGAACGCUGGCGGCGUGCUUAACACAUGCAAGUCGAACGCUGAAGCUCAGCUUGCUGGGUGGAUGAGUGGCGAACGGGUGAGUAACACGUGAGUAACCUGCCCUCUUCUUUGGGAUAACGCCCGGAAACGGGUGCUAAUACUGGAUAUUCACUGAUUCUCGCAUGGGGGUUGGUGGAAAGGUUUUUUCUGGUGGGGGAUGGGCUCGCGGCCUAUCAGCUUGUUGGUGGGGUGAUGGCCUACCAAGGCUUUGACGGGUAGCCGGCCUGAGAGGGUGACCGGUCACAUUGGGACUGGGAUACGGCCCAGACUCCUACGGGAGGCAGCAGUGGGGAAUAUUGCACAAUGGGCGGAAGCCUGAUGCAGCGACGCCGCGUGAGGGAUGGAGGCCUUCGGGUUGUAAACCUCUUUCGCUCAUGGUCAAGCCGCAGCUUUGGGUUGUGGUGAGGGUAGUGGGUAAAGAAGCGCCGGCUAACUACGUG
rnacentral:rRNA from 1 species